CCUACGGGAGGCAGCAGUAAGGAAUAUUGGUCAAUGGACGAAAGUCUGAACCAGCCAUGCCGCGUGAAGGAUGAAGGUCCUCUGGAUUGUAAACUUCUUUUAUCUGGGACGAAAAAAGGGCUUUCUAGCUCACUUGACGGUACCAGAGGAAUAAGCACCGGCUAACUCCGUGCCAGCAGCCGCGGUAAUACGGAGGGUGCAAGCGUUAUCCGGAUUUACUGGGUUUAAAGGGAGCGUAGGUGGGCAGGUAAGUCAGUGGUGAAAUCUCUGGGCUUAACCCGGAAACUGCCAUUGAUACUAUCUGUCUUGAAUAUCCUGGAGGUAAGCGGAAUAUGUCAUGUAGCGGUGAAAUGCUUAGAUAUGACAUAGAACACCCAUUGCGAAGGCAGCUUACUACGGGAUUAUUGACACUGAGGCUCGAAAGCGUGGGGAUCAAACAGGAUUAGAUACCCUGGUAGUCCACGCCCUAAACGAUGGAUACUCGACAUCAGCGAUACACUGUUGGUGUCUGAGCGAAAGCAUUAAGUAUCCACCUGGGAAGUAACGACCGCAAGGUUGAAAUUCAAAGGAAUUGACCGGNNGAGAGNGCGAGAGACGACGAGGAGGAG
rnacentral:rRNA from 1 species